rnacentral:rRNA from 1 species
AUGAUUCCAGGACCUGGAAUCAUACCAGCCGAUGGGUGGUGGUUUAUCGCUCGUUCAGCUGACGACGUACCAUAUAACUGGAGUUACCGAUGCAAGUCGAAGAAGGAUUGGCCCGUGCUGCCGGCUGGCGUCAAGUUCGAUCCCACGGAUCAGGAGCUGAUCGAGCACCUUGAGGCCAAAGUGAGUGCUGACAGCGUGAGAUUUCAGUCUCUCAUCGAUUUGUUCAUACCAACCAUCGACAGCGAGCACGACAUAUGUUACACCCAACCUGAGAAACUUCCAGCAAAAAAGGUUCUGGUGCUGCACACCAACAAGAACUUCGACCAGCAGAGGACCAACUGGGUGAUGCACCAGUACCACCUCGGGGACCUGGAGCAACAGAAGGAGCGGGAGCUGGUCCUCUGCAAGAUUUUCUACCAGACGAACACUAGGGCCAGGAGUAAAAAGAUUAUAAGUUAG